UGGGGAGUACGGCCGCAAGGCUAAAACUCAAAGGAAUUGACGGGGGCCCGCACAAGCGGCGGAGCAUGCGGAUUAAUUCGAUGCAACGCGAAGAACCUUACCAAGGCUUGACAUAUACGAGAACGGGCCAGAAAUGGUCAACUCUUUGGACACUCGUAAACAGGUGGUGCAUGGUUGUCGUCAGCUCGUGUCGUGAGAUGUUGGGUUAAGUCCCGCAACGAGCGCAACCCUCGUUCUAUGUUGCCAGCACGUUAUGGUGGGAACUCAUAGGAGACUGCCGGGGUCAACUCGGAGGAAGGUGGGGAUGACGUCAAAUCAUCAUGCCCCUUAUGUCUUGGGCUUCACGCAUGCUACAAUGGCCGGUACAAAGGGCUGCAAUACCGUAAGGUGGAGCGAAUCCCAAAAAGCCGGUCUCAGUUCGGAUUGAGGUCUGCAACUCGACCUCAUGAAGUCGGAGUCGCUAGUAAUCGCAGAUCAGCAACGCUGCGGUGAAUACGUUCCCGGGCCUUGUACACACCGCCCGUCAAGUCAUGAAAGUCGGUAACACCCAACGCCAGUGGCCUAACCUUCGGGAGGGAGCUGUCUAAGGUGGGAUCGGUGAUUA
rnacentral:rRNA from 2 species